CAGAUUGCACCUUUCACUUCCUUCCUGGGAUCAGAGUUUAAAAGCCAUAACGACUCGUAGAGCAGUCGCAUCUUUUCUUCCGCAUCAUGCACUGAUUUCAGAGAAGGGGACUGUGGGGAGAAGGGAAGGGAAGGGGAAUCCCCUGGCACGGGGCCUGCCCACAGAACGCCCCUUUGGGGUUGCUAUAGAAACAGGCAUAAUAAGAACAAAACAGAGGCACGUUGCCUGGCAACACAGGAGCCCAGGGUUCAUCACAUACUUACUACCUACAAAUCAGGGAACCCCCGGGGUGGGAGUGGCACUUCUGGCGAAGCUGGGGUAUCCCAGUAAUGAUGAGUCCUAGAGCUGACCUUGCUUUUCCAGUGGGUCUGGAGGACUGUGUGCAAACUGUUCUGGCGUGAUUGCCAGGUGCCAGCUGCUGCCGUAGACACAGAGUACACAGCAGAAAGCAAACAGUGCCUGCCCUCCUGGAGCUUAGAUGUGGAUGGGAGCUUUGAGUCCGGCUUCUGAAGGUUAUGUGAUUUUAGGUAAAUCACUGCCCCUCUUCCGGACCAUUGCCUUCCUGCGUGUGAGGAGUAAAUGGGCUGACACACAAGGUGCCUACAGCAGUGUCAGACAAGAUCACCACGAAGAGGGGUGAAAGGUGGGGGCUACAGCAGUAGGCAGAAAGAGAAGGGGUGGCAGAAAUCUUUAAAAGUGUUGUGUCUCCAUUUGCACCAUUGAAGACUGUUGAAAAUAUUCCCUUUCCCUGCCAGCUUUGGUGCAGCAAGUAGGAUCCUGGCUUUUUAGGCGGCAGAGUCUAGUUUACCCCUUCUGUAUCCUCCUAGCCUAGAAGUGGGGGAGGAGCCACUCCGCAGGACCACCUCCCACCAGGUAUCCUCACACUCGUGCCCCUGAACCAAGUACCUGGACAGUAAUCCCUGCUCUGAAGCUGCUCCCCAGACCGGCCUCUCCUGCCUUCUCUGUUGACCAAGAGGGUGGCCAGAACAAACAAUGGAGCUGAUAAGUUGGCUCUGAGCCCAGGACACCAGCCUCUGCCCUUUCACGCCUGGGGGGCUGAGGGAGUCCCCGCUGAGUUGAAGGCGCAAUAUCCACACCCUUCCACACUCUUCCUUUCCUGUUCCAGCCCCUCCCUCCAAAUUCCCAUGGCCCUUUGUGCAGACCCCCUAUCUUUGUGGCGUAUGUCAUAUCAUAGCUAUCUCUCUGAAAAACCUAGCUGUUGAUCAGCUCCCAUUUCAACAUGCAUUGGAAGCCCUCACACUUUCAAGGAACCAAAUGAUUCAUUUUGUAAAGUUAACACUCCUCUGAUAAACUGUUAACUGUGGUUGUUUUGGGGGAGAGGGACUAGCUUAGGGGUGGAGGGAAUCAUCUACUUUUUACUGUUCUGCUUUUCCGUACUGACGUCCUUCACCCUAUAGAGGUAUUGAUUUUAUCUCUGAAACAGCAACAAGGAUUAAUCAGACUUGUAGGGUCACAGGCCACUUU
ensembl:lncRNA